UGUAGUCUAUACAUUUUGCGGCUUUAAUUCUGUGAGAAAGUUCACCAGAAUUAAUGAAUUCCUGUUAAGCUAUAUUUUAUUUCUGUAUUGUAACGCAGGCCAAUAAAUUGGAGAUGAAGAAAUUACAGGAGGAGCAACAGAGAAGGGAGCUGCACCAACAUGAUCUACAAAUGAUAAGAGAACAGCAACAACAAAGGCUUCAGAGGUCCAGCUCAGUUCCUAUGGCAGCGAGCAACUCCACACCAGCGUCAUCUUGGGAUAGGGGGCGCGAGUACAGGGAAGCCAGGAGGGCUGAGGAGCAGAAGGAACUGCAGCUGAGGAAAGCAGAGCAGCGCUUGAAGAGUGAAAUUUUGGAGGAAAAACAAAAACACGAGGAGGAGGACAGGAAGAGGCGAAUGGAAAGCGAACGUCUGCGGGUGAACUCGGCCUUCCUAGACAGACUGGAGGCGAGCGGAUCAGGUAGAGCGUCUGGGUCCCACCCCUGCACCCCGGAGGGUGGUAACAUCUGGAAGACGGAGGAACCACAAGACCCUGCCUCAUCCCCGAUGCCCUUCACAACACAGCUCCACAGUAUCAAGAAGGAGGAAGAGGAGGAGGAGGACGAGAAGAGGGAUGUGAAAGUGGAGGAGGAGGACGAGGGUGAGCCAGAUUUAUGUGCUAGCCAUUAUGCAUGUUUAGUCUUAGGCCCUUCUGUAAUUGUUUCCAUUGCAGUGUCUUCUCUCAUCAAAAAGUAAUUUGUCUCCGGGUAUGAUUGAUACUGUGCAGAGCUCUGUCGUCCUAUCCCCAGUAGUCUUUUUUGUCAGGCCCCGUAAGGCGGUGUAGCGCAUUAUGUAAAUAAAACUAAGCCUCUAAAUCCUCCUUGUGCGACA
rnacentral:lncRNA from 1 species